rnacentral:lncRNA from 1 species
UUAACAAAAGGCCGCCCUAUAAUCCCUCAUCCUCUGUCUCUGAGACCUAAACCAAACAUUAGCCACUGUCACCCAAAACUAAUCAUAUUCCUUCCGAUUCUCACUCGGCCCAUGGAUUUCCAUGGCAGUUUGAAGCUCCUACUGAUCUUCUACAUCUCAUGGUUUACUCAUUCUUAAGCUUUCUUGGAAAAAUCUUGAAGAGAUCUUACCAGAUCUGGUUCAAGACUCUCUAGGAGUUCAUCUAAUGUUGUGAGUGUUACUAAUCUGAUGCUUUUAUGGUUCAUAUAUCUUUUCUGAGACUCCAUUGUCUUUACCUUUUCAUUCUUUCUUCAAAAUCCUUUCAAAUAUGAACCCAUCAAAAUAUUUGUAGAUCUAGAAAGUUUCUGAGUUCGUCGUCGAUUUUCCUUGAAAGAGUUCCUUGUUUCUUCACUAUUAGUCAAUUUUCGGCGCCAUGUUAGGUUUGAUUUCUUUAUUAUCUGUUGUUCGAUCUUCUGCAUAUUUGAAGUGUUUUCAAUUUCCCAUGGUUUUUCUAUGAGGUUCUUUUACUUUUAUACUAUUAACUGAUUUUUAGCACUACACUACUUUAGGUGUUUGAUUUCUUUUAUUUAUGUUGUUUAAAUCUCUGUAUGUUUGAAGUGCUUUUUGUUUCCAUGGCUAUUUUUUAAAUUUCUCCUAAUCUUCCUUCUACUAAUCAACCCUAAUAAUCUUUCUAAUUUUCUGGGGUUUCCACUUCCCUUUUUGCAAAAGGUUUUCUAAAGUUUUUAUGUUUCGUUUCAUUUUUCUUGCAUGGUUAUAUUUUUGGUCUAAUUUUUUGACUAUUCAGUGCUUGAUUUCAACCACUUUUCUAUUAUUUUUUCAAUAAUUGAAUGAUUAGUCUAAUUAUCUAGGGUUUAUUUGUUUACUAAACUAAUUUACUGAUCUUUAAUUGUUUUCCUUAAUCCUGAAUGUUUUAAUUGACAUCUCUUGUCUGUCUAUGGGUUGAUUAACCCUUCGAUUGGUCUCUAAUUACCCGUGUUGACUCAUUCUACCUUAGACAAGGGAUAAUAGUUCACACACAUAAAAAACCUUUUUCUUAUCUCUCUGCUACUUGUGAUAACUACUGGACUAGCCAGCUGAAAGCCAAGGCUAGACUAUUGAAUCCUGCUUGCUUUACCUUCUGUUUCUGCUUCCUUAACAGGUAUGCCUCUACCAUUUUCAUUCAAUUAAAAUAUGUGUAUAUCAACAUGCUACUUCUGCAUAAAUUUAUGUGAUUGUCAGCAUGUUACUGCUGUUUAAAUUUGUGUAUUUAUCAGCAUGCUACUUCUGUUUAAAUUUGUUUGUUUAUCACCAUGUUACUUCUGUUUAAAUUUUUGUGUUUAUCAACUUACUUACUUCUUUUCAAUCCAUGCGUUGGGUAGCAUGACUACUUCUACCCAAUCUAUGUGUCUACUUCUGCUCAAAACUAUGUAGUCAAUAGCAUAUCUAACUAUGCGUUUCCUAUUAUGUCUAUUAAUGUUCAACCUAUGUGUUUAUGUUUACUCCUUUUUAAUACAUGUGUUUACUACCAUAGCAUGUUGACUUCUAUUUUAAUUAAAACUAGGGGUUCUCCUUUCAUCAAGUUUGCAUGUUUACUUAUGUCUAAAAUUAGAUCUAUGUCUUGUCUACUUCCCCGCUAGCAUGAUUUCCUAUCUGGAUACCUUGUUCCCAAUCCUUGUUACCCUUUUCAUGUGGAUGUUUUAUCUGCCUUACUUCAUUGUUAGGUCACUGGUUACAGCUAAUAAGCUUAAGUAAUCCUAUUUUUGAAUGUUGUUUGUUUGGCUAGAACCUUUGCAUGGGUUCCAGGACUGAAUGAUUCUGUUUACUUCUGAUUUUCCUGAAAGUCUGAAACUAUUUUCUCAAAACUAUUCUUGCAAAUCUAUCACUUCAACUCUUAGAACAUCUAGGGUCCUGCCCCUCUAGUGUGAGCAUUACUUUUGAGUCUAUGAGGCUCUUCUAAACUUUAACAUAUUGGGGAUGGUUAUUCCAUACUACACAAGUUGUUGAUCUUUAAAGAAGGACAUAGUGUGAGCGUUGCCCUAGUCCUAGAGGUCCUUGGGAACUCUAACACACUAAGAUACCCCCCCCCCCCCCCCCCCCCCCCCCCCCC